rnacentral:rRNA from 1 species
AGCAGUAGCCGCGGUAACACGUAGGGCGCAAGCGUUAUCCGGAAUUAUUGGGCGUAAAGAGCUCGUAGGCGGUUUGUCGCGUCUGCCGUGAAAGUCCGGGGCUCAACCCCGGAUCUGCGGUGGGUACGGGCAGACUAGAGUGAUGUAGGGGAGACUGGAAUUCCUGGUGUAGCGGUGAAAUGCGCAGAUAUCAGGAGGAACACCGAUGGCGAAGGCAGGUCUCUGGGCAUUAACUGACGCUGAGGAGCGAAAGCAUGGGGAGCGAACAGGAUUAGAUACCCGAGUAGUCCCUGUCUCUUAUAC